rnacentral:rRNA from 1 species
CCUGUGAACAUACCUAUAACGUUGCCUCGGCGGGAACAGACGGCCCCGUAACACGGGCCGCCCCCGCCAGAGGACCCCCUAACUCUGUUUCUAUAAUGUUUCUUCUGAGUAAACAAGCAAAUAAAUUAAAACUUUCAACAACGGAUCUCUUGGCUCUGGCAUCGAUGAAGAACGCAGCGAAAUGCGAUAAGUAAUGUGAAUUGCAGAAUUCAGUGAAUCAUCGAAUCUUUGAACGCACAUUGCGCCCGCCAGUAUUCUGGCGGGCAUGCCUGUUCGAGCGUCAUUACAACCCUCAGGCCCCCGGGCCUGGCGUUGGGGAUCGGCGGAAGCCCCCUGCGGGCACAACGCCGUCCCCCAAAUACAGUGGCGGUCCCGCCGCAGCUUCCAUUGCGUAGUAGCUAACACCUCGCAACUGGAGAGCGGCGCGGCCACGCCGUAAAACACCCAACUUCUGAAUGUUGACCUCGAAUCAGGUAGGAAUACCCGCUGAACUUAAGCAUAUCAA